rnacentral:rRNA from 1 species
AGAAUCAACGCUGGCGGCGUGCCUAACACAUGCAAGUCGCACGAGAAAGGGUAGCAAUACCUGAGUACAGUGGCGCACGGGUGAGUAACACGUGAAUCAUCUACCUUCGAGUGGGGAAUAACUGGGAGAAAUCUCAGCUAAUACCGCAUAAUACCCACGGGUCAAAGCAGCAAUGCGCUUGAAGAGGAGUUCGCGGCAGAUUAGUUAGUUGGCGGGGUAAUCGGCCCACCAAGACGAUGAUCUGUA